AAAAUAUAAAAUAAAGGGAAAAACGACAGGCAGAUGAACCAGCAUCACAAACAAAAAUAACAGCUCUAUAAAGAUGGAAGAAGAAGAGGAGGUGGGCAGAAUGGAAGACGAUACAUUUAUAGAGUAGACUACACAGGGUCUGAUUCAGAAUUAAAAAACAUCUCGUCUUCGCCAUAGUUGUAUAUGUAUACACGAAACCGCAAGUGUACUGAAUCAAUGCCAUAAAAGGUUGGCAACAAGCGGCCAGACGACAGCGCCCCCAUCACACACAAAAAAAAAAAGAAAAGAAAAACGAAUAAUAUAGUAGAAAAUGUGUUACGCAACAGAUAUCCUAUAGAGUCUCGUAAUCUACAGGCGUCAUCAAAAUGAUGGCAAAUAUGAAUAGAUGGGCAUUGCCUUUAGCGAAAGUAAACCCCACCUGUCUAACAACGAAUAACAACACAUCAGCGUAGUCGAGACCUUUCGACGAAGACGACCCAGCCCAGAAAUCAUCUAUACAUGUACACGCAUAAAUAUGCAUCAUUCGGCCAAUUUAGCUAUAAUGCUAUUGCUUAUGGCUCCGCUGACAGCCGAUGCAUUUUUUGUUUUCUGUCUUCUUUUAUUUCAAAGGACACGGAGGACUCGGCCAAGGAGAGAAAGAAAAAAACAAAAAAACAUUCGCAAAAAUGUUCAGGUCAGCAAUUGUUUUGUUGGCGAGGACGAAGCAUUCGUGCAGCAUCCUUCCACUGCUGUUUAUUGUCUACGAUUCCAUAAUAUGUUUCCCUGUUUGCAACUACAACAAAAAAAAAAGAAAAAAGAAAAGAAAGCUCAAGCAAAAUGAAAGAAAAAUGCAGGUAAAUGAGACGGUAUAGAUUUUGUUUUUCAUGUUCACUUGUUGUGCUGUAUACGUCGGCGACUCUUUUUAACCUGACAUGGGAGCGUAACCGCCUCUGAAAUUCUGCCGAGCGUGCAUGUAAUAAGCAAUUCGCGUUGUACCUACAUAAGGCAACGCGUAUCAAUUCAACUGGAUUGUCGAGAGCAAAAUCAUCUUCCCUCCGGUGCGCACCAUCACACACACGAAGGGACAUCGCACACGGCCAACGGACCAACAGAAUUUCUUUUCUACGGUAAAAGAAGGAAUAUGCUGGUGAAUAAAGCAAAGGAAA